UAAGUGAAUAGUGAAAUCUGGCGGCUCAACCAUACAGACUAUUAUUCGAACUGUUUGACUCGAGAAUGGUAGAGGUAGCUGGAAUUUCUAGUGUAGGAGUGAAAUCCGUAGAUAUUAGAAGGAACACCGAUGGCGUAGGCAGGCUACUGGACCAUUUCUGACGCUGAGGCACGAAAGCGUGGGGAGCGAACCGGAUUAGAUACCCGGGUAGUCCACGCCGUAAACGAUGGAUACUA
rnacentral:rRNA from 1 species